rnacentral:rRNA from 1 species
GACGAACGCUGGCGGCAUGCCUAACACAUGCAAGUCGAACGGAGAAUCGCUUCGGUGAUUCUUAGUGGCGAACGGGUGAGUAACGCGUAGGCAACCUGCCCUUUGGAUGGGGACAACAUUCCGAAAGGAGUGCUAAUACCGCAUAAAGUAUUUGGGGGACAUCCCCCAGAUACCAAAGGAGCAAUCCGCUGAAGGAUGGCCUCGCGUCUGAUUAGAUAGUUGGUGAGGUAACGGCUCACCAAGUCGACGAUCAGUAGCCGGACUGAGAGGUUGAACGGCCACAUUGGGACUGAGACACGGCCCAGACUCCUACGGGAGGCAGCAGUGGGGGAUAUUGCACAAUGGGCGAAAGCCUGAUGCAGCGACGCCGCGUGAGUGAAGAAGUAUUUCGGUAUGUAAAGCUCUAUCAGCAGGGAAGAAAAUGACGGUACCUGACUAAGAAGCCCCGGCUAACUACGUG